rnacentral:rRNA from 1 species
GACGAACGCUGGCGGCGUGCCUAAUACAUGCAAGUCGAACGAACUCUGGUAAUGAUUGGUGCUUGCAUCAUGAAUUACAUUUGAGUGAGUGGCGAACUGGUGAGUAACACGUGGAAACCUGCCCAGAAGCGGGGGAUAACACCUGGAAACAGAUGCUAAUACCGCAUAACAACUUGGACCGCAUGGUCCGAGUUUGAAAGAUGGCUUCGGCUAUCACUUUUGGAUGGUCCCGCGGCGUGUUAGCUAGAUGGUGAGGUAACGGCUCACCAUGGCAAUGAUACGUAGCCGACCUGAGAGGGUAAUCGGCCACAUUGGGACUGAGACACGGCCCAAACGCCUACGGGAGGCAGCAGUAGGGAAUCUUCCACAAUGGACGAAAGUCUGAUGGAGCAACGCCGCGUGAGUGAAGAAGGGUUUCGGCUCGUAAAACUCUUUUGUUAAAGAAGAACAUAUCUGAGAGUAACUGUUCAGGUAUUGACGGUAUUUAACCAGAAAGCCACGGCUAACUACGUGCCAGCCGCCGCCGUAA